rnacentral:rRNA from 1 species
GACGAACGCUGGCGGCGUGCUUAACACAUGCAAGUCGAACGGAAAGGCCCUGCUUUUGUGGGGUGCUCGAGUGGCGAACGGGUGAGUAACACGUGAGUAACCUGCCCUUGACUUUGGGAUAACUUCAGGAAACUGGGGCUAAUACCGGAUAGGAGCUCCUGCUGCAUGGUGGGGGUUGGAAAGUUUCGGCGGUUGGGGAUGGACUCGCGGCUUAUCAGCUUGUUGGUGGGGUAGUGGCUUACCAAGGCUUUGACGGGUAGCCGGCCUGAGAGGGUGACCGGCCACAUUGGGACUGAGAUACGGCGCAGACUCCUACGGGAGGCAGCAGUGGGGAAUAUUGCAGAAUGGGCGGAAGCCUGAUGCAGCAACGCCGCGUGCGGGAUGACGGCUCUCGGGUUGUAAACCGCUUUCGCCUGUGACGAAGCGUGAGUGACGGUAAUGGGUAAAGAAGCACCGGCUAACUACGUG